rnacentral:rRNA from 1 species
UGCCUCAGUAACGGCGAGUGAAGCGGCAACAGCUCAAAUUUGAAAUCUGGCCGCAAGGUCCGAGUUGUAAUUUGCAGAGGAUGCUUUUGGCGAGGUGCCUUCCGAGUUCCCUGGAACGGGACGCCAUAGAGGGUGAGAGCCCCGUACGGUAGGACCACCGAGCCUUUGUAAAGCUCCUUCGACGAGUCGAGUAGUUUGGGAAUGCUGCUCUAAAUGGGAGGUGUACGUCUUCUAAAGCUAAAUACCGGCCAGAGACCGAUAGCGCACAAGUAGAGUGAUCGAAAGAUGAAAAGCACUUUGAAAAGAGGGUUAAAAAGUACGUGAAAUUGUUGAAAGGGAAGCAUUCAUGACCAGACUUGGGCUUGGUUGAACAUCCGGCGUUCUCGCCGGUGCACUCUGCCAGUCCAGGCCAGCAUCAGUUUGCCCCGGGGGACAAAGGCGGUGGGAAUGUGGCUCUCUCCGGGGAGUGUUAUAGCCCGCCGUGUAAUGCCCUGGGGCGGACUGAGGAACGCGCUUCGGCUCGGAUGCUGGCGUAAUGGUCAUCAAUGACCCGUCUUGAAACACGGACCAAGGAGUCGUCUUCGUAUGCGAGUGUUCGGGUGUCAAACCCCUACGCGAAAUGAAAGUGAACGUAGGUGAGAGCUUCGGCGCAUCACCGACCGAUCCUGAUGUUCUCGGACGGA